rnacentral:tRNA from 1 species
UCCCUGGUGGCUCAGCUGGUAAAGAAUCUGCCUGCAAUGUAGGAGACCCAGGUUUGAUCCCUGGGUUGGGAA